UUUCGUAAAAGUACGCCAUUACUUUUUUAUUCGUUGAAGAGUAAAGUUGUGGGAGUUAAAAAAAUUGUGAUUUUAAUUGUGAAGAAUUUAGAAGGAAGUAGUUGAAUUUUAGCAAAUUGAGUAUUGAGUUAAAAUUUAGAUUCUUAAAUAUGGAAGUAAAAACAGAAAAUAAUGGGACUCCUUUACCACAAAGAAUAAAACAAAACGCUAAUCAGCCUGAAGCGGAAGAGAAGAAGCCACGUUUUGGGAAUCAAGGUGGUCAAGGAAAUCAAGGAGGCGGGAAUGAUCAAGGAAAUAGAAAUGCGGGUGGUGGAGGUGGUGGAGGAAACCGCAAUCAGAACCGAGGAAAUAGAUUUGGAAACAGAAAUCAAAAUAUGGGUGGAAGAGGUGGAAAUAUUAAAAGCGAGAAUGAUAUUCCAAACUUAAUGGACGGACUUGAUAAUCGUGGGGGAAAUGAUCGUGAUAAUAGGGAUAAUCGUGGCAAUGACCGACGUGGCCAACGAGGUGGUGGAGGCGGUAAUCGCCGUGACAAUAUGAAUGAUGAUCGUGGCAAUUAUAGAGGAAAGGGUGAAGAUCACAUAAUGAAUUCAAAAUUGAAAGCUUUAGCAGGACCAACACAUGAAUUGCCUCCUAUUGAUACAGUAGAAACUAAAUUUUCAGGGAGAAACCGCUUAUAUAUUGGAAAUUUGACAAAUGAUGUUACAGAAGAAGAACUAAAGGAAUUAUUUAAACCAUACGGAGAGAUUGCUGAAGCAUUUAUAAAUGCUGAGAAAAACUUUGCGUUUUUGAAAGUAGAUUAUCAUGCAAAUGCAGAAAGAGCGAAACGGGAGUUGGAUGGUUCAAAUCGUAAAAACCGUCAAUUACGUAUACGUUUUGCACCAAAUGCUACAAUUGUGCGUGUAAAAAAUCUAACGCCAUAUGUUUCCAAUGAACUGUUAUUUAAAGCUUUCGAAAUUUUUGGUCCGGUCGAAAGAGCAGUAAUAAUUGUAGACGAUCGUGGCAAACCAACUGGGGAAGGAAUCGUUGAAUUUGCUCGAAAAGCUGGCGCUUCUGCAGCUAUUCGCGCUUGCACAGAAAAAUGUUUCUUUUUAACAGCAUCUCUUCGACCAUGCGUUGUUGAACCCUUUGAAAUAAAUGAUGAUACUGAUGGUAUGCCAGAUAAAUUAAUGAACAAAAAAACUCAAGAAUUUUCCAGAGAACGUCAAGUUGGGCCAAGAUUUGCUGAGCAUACUUCAUUUGAGCAUGAAUACGGUACCAGGUGGAAGCAAUUGCACGAAUUAUUUAAACAGAAACAUGAGUCAUUAAAAAGAGAAUUACAAAUGGAAGAAGAAAAACUAGAAGCUCAAAUGGAGUUUGCUCGUUAUGAGCAUGAAACGGAACUAUUAAGAGAACAAUUACGUAAACGGGAAGAGGACCGUGAUCGCCAAAGAAUGGAAUGGGAAAUGAGACAGCGUCAACAUGAUGAAAUGAGGAACAGAGAAAGUGAUCAUCUCCGCCGCCAGCAAGAAGAAAUGCAAACAAGAUUAAACAGGCAAGAUGAGGAAAUGAAACGCCGCCAACAGGAAAAUACUUUGUUUAUGCAAGCCCAACAACUUAACUCUCUUCUUGAUCAACAAGAAUUCGGCGGAGGUGGUGGUCCUGGAAAUGGUCCAGAUGGAGAUGACUUUAACAGAGGAGGUGGCGGAGGUGGCAAUCGCGGAGGCAAUUUUGGAAAUGAUAAUUUUGGAGGUUUUUUAAAUGGAAAAUCUUUUCCAGCUGGAAACAAUCAAAACAAUAACGGGCCAAAUCAGAAACAUCGUCUAGAGGUGACCGGGGUUAUUGUAUCAUUCAAUAUUGCAGGCAUGAUUCUAAUUUGAAACAAUUUGACUAAAAAUUGAAGACUAAUAUAAAUUGAAGAGAAGUAACAAAAGAACUUCAUGGAAUAUAAUAUACCAAGUAAAAUUAAAAGGUUCGUUUAAAUUUCUAAAUUGGCAAAUAAAUUGUGAAUAACCCAGAAUAAAUAUGUGCUCUGCAAAAGAAAGCAACUUUGAAUCCUAAACAUUUUGGUUGCAGUUUCUGUGUAAAUACCUUCAUAUGUUUAAAGGGCGGAUAUUUUUGCUAACUUAUCAGCUUGUAAUUGGGAGACUGUGUUUUCUGAUAGUGAAGAAAAUUUUUUUGUACAGGUAGAUCAGCUGGUAAUUGGGAGACUGUGUUUUCUGAUAGUGAAGAAAAUUUUUUUGUACAGGUAGAUUCGUGUUUUGUAAUUACACAAGGUCUGGGUUGAAAUUAUAAAUUAUUAUAUGAGCACAUUUUUCGGAUGUUACAGAUUCGUGUUUUGUAAUUACACAAGGUCUGGGUUGAAAUUAUAAAUUAUUAUAUGAGCACAUUUUUCGGAUGUUACAGAAUCGUGUUUUGUAAUUGCUCAAAUUUUUUUUGGAUUUAUAUAAAUCAUUACAUGAGCACAGUUGUCGGAUGUUUCAGAAUACACGCACGCAUGCAAUAAAUGUAUAUGUAAAUGUUAUGCAGAACGCUUCUGACAUGGAAAUUACUACUACAAAUAUGGAUUAAUAUAUUAAUCAUUAAAUAAAACAAAAACUUGCCGAUUCUAAAAAUAAAAUUAAUGGACAAAUGUUUGGUUCAAACUGGAUUUAUAAUGGACAAUAAGGAAUAAAAGCCAAAUUUUAUUAUAUAAAAUGGAUUAUUGCGAUUAUUGGUAUCAUAGGAAAUUAAUAAAUAUCAAGUAGCUGUGGUGCUAUAAAAGUGAAAAUAAGGAUUAUGAAAAAUUUAGCAGCACUACUCAGAUCAACGUGCUUCAUAUUCAAUAUGGAUUUACUUUCAACAAUCGUUUAGAAAAUGGCUUCAAAAAAUACUAAACCAUUUUUGAAAGUUUUACAAACAAUAAUUUGAGAUGAUAUUUUAAAUAUGGACGGGGAUAGUUAGAUAUAUAACUAAACGAUAACAACAAUAAUUAAUUUGUUUGCUUUUAAUUUCACACAUUUUGUGAUUAUUUCAUUAUACGUAUGUACAUAUAUAUCGGUUUUUAAUUUUUUUUUUGUUAUAUUUUCAUUAUUAAUUAACUGUGGAAACAUUUUGAGCCAUAUUCUCAAAAACAAAAUAUCUUGUUAUCUAUUUAAAUUCGGUUCUUAAUAUUACACGUACUUUUUUUUGUUUCUGAAUUACAUUUUUUACAUUUUCAAAGUGGUCCUCAAAUUAUUGUUUUUAAAAGUUCAAAGAAAUUUGUGGAAAAAGUUUUCAGGUACGUAUAAAUAUCAGCUAUCUGUGUUCUUUUUUGCGAAAUUGGGGAUAUAAAAGUGAACGAGCGCCUUAAAUAUUAUUUUAAAUUUUUUGAUAAUGAAAAAUAAAUAAAAGGAAAAAUGUACAUAACAUUCAUA